GCCGAUUUGGCUCAGGGGAUAGAGCAUCAGCCUGUGGACUGAAGGGUCCUGGGUUCAAUUCCCAGGCAAGGGCA
rnacentral:tRNA from 1 species